CGCGGGGUGGAGCAGCUUGGUAGCUCGUCGGGCUCAUAACCCGAAGGUCGCAGGUUCAAAUCCUGCCCCCGCUACCA
rnacentral:tRNA from 4 species